CAAAGACAAGACUAGAAAUCACCCCUCCAGCCACCCAGAGACAAAUGCAGAUUUACUGAGCCGGCGACAGAGGCAUAAUUGCCUGUGCCUCCACCCUCUCCUUUCAUAGGUUGCGCAAGACCUCUCCAGCCCGGCGAACCCGUGGGGCUCAGCAGUCCUCCUCCACGCUCAAGAUGCAGUUUGAUGCAAUCCUAGAGGACGCAGUUUCAAGUUUCUCGAGAUAGAGAAGCGAAAGAGGAUCCGAAACCGCGCUUCACAUCUGAAUCUGAUUUCAGAUUCCUCCGGAAUAUAGCGGAAGCGCGGGGUUGAGGGCGCAGACCGGGGCAGAGGAGAGGCGCGCAGGUCUGCUGGGACGCAGCGCGGGGCGAGCAGUGGCGCACUCGUGGCCUGACGCAUCCGCGAGACUGCACGCGGC
rnacentral:lncRNA from 10 species